rnacentral:lncRNA from 1 species
GCCGCAGUCGGUGGUGCCGCCGCCGCCGCCGCCGCCGCCACGGGUCAGGCUCGCCUUCCUAGAGGCUCUGGGGACUUCCGGGGGAGCGCGUUACCCGGGCAACCGCCGCCGCCCCAGAGAGAGGACGCACCUGCUUCUAGCACGGGGUAGGGGACCCUUCUACCCUGACACCCCCUUCCCCUCCCUCCUAGUGGAGGAGCUGAGGCCAGAAGGAAUCUAAAGCGACCGCUUCCUCUCCCAGGAUUGGUUUCCCCGCUUUUUUCCUAGGUGGCGGGAGCGGGCAGAGGGAGCGUAGUACACGGCUUAGGCUUCCCCUUCCAAGAAUGACUGGGAGGACACCCAGCAGCCCCUGACGUCACCGCACCUGCCUCCUGGCCCCGCCCCCUCCGGUCUCUGCUACUUCUAUCUUCUAGCGGCCGCAUAAACCAGCUCUUCCGGGAGAAGAGGGGCAAGGAGUUGGACAGAUGAAGAUUAAAAAUUUCGGUGUUUGUGGAUUGUUUUCCUUCUUAAACAAAACUCCUGAGCUCGUGUUGGGUCGGCUUCUGACACAUACUAGCUCUAUGAUUCUGAUAAAUUACUUAACCUGUGUAUGUGGCCUGGCAAACUCCUUAAGAUUGUAAGUUACAAAGUUACACUGAUGUUCCUUAGUGAAAGGAAUUUCUAUACCAGUUACUGUUACCAUUCUUAUUCGCACUCUACAUAUAAGGAAACUGAGGCUCGGAAACUGUGACUUGCCUUCCCCGUCACCACCACCCCUCCCCCGCCUAGAUUCUAUGCUAUCAUAGCUGCCAUCUGUAGGACAACAAGAGAAAUUGCAAGACUCUGUUUUCCCCUGGAUCGAUCCAUUACUGGAUCAGGAAAAAGGACCCCUGCUGACUCAUCUUGAUUCAGAACUUAAUUAUGGGCUAUCGAAAGCUUUGCCAGUGGAACAAAAACCUUGUCAGUUCCUAUCAAGCUGUGAAGGUUUCAGGUAUGUGACCAGUGGACAUGUCUGUCAGCUAAGAUCUGCUCUAGCUAAAAUCGGUAAGGUUCAGCACCAGAAGACUAGCAGCCAGGUGAUGAAUUGGCUGGGAUUGGGACUCAAAGCCCUUUAUGACCACCCCGAAAGGAGCUACUAUUGGUAGAGAAAGUGCCCACUGUAAAGUGUAAACACUGAUGCUUGAAGUAUGGAGAUGAGUAUUGUUAUCUUGAAUCUAUUUAAAAUGUUAAAUUUGCUUUUUAUCAAAUGAAAUAAUAUUUUAAAGCAUUUAGCACAAUGCUUGGCAUAUCAUAGAUGCUUGUUUCCUUCCCUUUUAUUGUUACUCUUAUAUCCAAAGAAUCUUGUCUUGGCAAAUAAUAUGAUUUUUGUAAUGGUCUUUGUAAUAAAAUACCAUCCUUCAUGUGGGAUUCCA